rnacentral:rRNA from 1 species
GAUGAACGCUGGCGGCGUGCCUAAUACAUGCAAGUCGAGCGAACAGACGAGGAGCUUGCUCCUCUGACGUUAGCGGCGGACGGGUGAGUAACACGUGGAUAACCUACCUAUAAGACUGGGAUAACUUCGGGAAACCGGAGCUAAUACCGGAUAAUAUAUUGAACCGCAUGGUUCAAUAGUGAAAGACGGUUUUGCUGUCACUUAUAGAUGGAUCCGCGCCGCAUUAGCUAGUUGGUAAGGUAACGGCUUACCAAGGCGACGAUGCGUAGCCGACCUGAGAGGGUGAUCGGCCACACUGGAACUGAGACACGGUCCAGACUCCUACGGGAGGCAGCAGUAGGGAAUCUUCCGCAAUGGGCGAAAGCCUGACGGAGCAACGCCGCGUGAGUGAUGAAGGUCUUCGGAUCGUAAAACUCUGUUAUUAGGGAAGAACAAAUGUGUAAGUAACUAUGCACGUCUUGACGGUACCUAAUCAGUAAGCCACGGCUAACUACGUG